rnacentral:misc_RNA from 1 species
GUUGAAGAACGUAGCGAAAUGCGAUACGUAAUGUGAAUUGCAGAAUUCAGUGAAUCAUCGAAUCUUUGAACGCAUAUUGCGCUCUCUGGUAUUCCGGAGAGCAUGCUUGUUUGAGUAUCAGUAAACACCUCAACUUCCAUAUCUUUUUUGAAAUGGGAGUUGGACUUGAGUGAUCCCAACGCUUUUCCUCACCGAAAAGUGGCGGGUUACUUGAAAUGCAGGUGCAGCUGGACUUUUCUCUGAGCUAUAAGCAUAUCUAUUUAGUCUGCCUAAAAAACAGAUUAUUACCUUUGCUGCAGCUAACAUAAAGGAGAUUAGUUCUUGUGCUGACUGAUGCAGGAUUCACAAAGACAGGCUUCGGCCGACUUUGUAAACUCGAUCUCAAAUCAAGUAAGACUACCCGCUGAACUUAAGCAUAUCAAUAAGCGAGGA